ACCAUCCUUCUCUUGGGGUGAGCGGUUGUCCGAGGAGCGUGUAGCGAGGACAGCAGUGCUAACACCACUUACAACACUCACGCAUCACUAUUGCCAAGGCAUUAGUCAAGGUGCAAUUUUUGGACCC
rnacentral:ncRNA from 1 species